UGGCAAGUAGCUCAGUUGGCAGAGCAAGGGACUGUUAAUCCCUAGGUCGUAGGUUCGAGCCCUACCUUGCCAGCCA
rnacentral:tRNA from 1 species